AUGGUGUUACCCAUGGGACAGUAUCGUCAAGGUCAUAAACGGAUCUCUGAUGUGUUGACUUUCCCAGUUACAGGGACUCAGCAUACUCUGGCACAUUCCUUCCAGCUCCUCAGGGAAGAUCCUCCAGGAUAUAGCUCUCAGCUGCCUCACUGCCUGGCCAUGGCCUCAGUGACCAUUCUGCUGCUUGGAAUGCUCUUCACAGUGAGAGGAACCAGAGCCCAGUCAGUGACCCAGCCUGACGACCACAUCACUGUCUCUGAAGGAAACUCUUUGGAGCUGAGGUGCAAUUUUUCCUAUAGUGGAACUCCUUACCUCUUCUGGUACGUCCAGUACCCCAGCCAAGGCCUCCAGCUUCUCCUCAAGGACAUAACAAGGGACACUCUGGUUGAAGGCAUCAAAGGUUUUGAGGCUGAAUUUAAUAAGAGCGAAACCUCCUUCCACCUGAGGAAACCAUCGGCCCAUUUCAGUGACUCAGCUGUGUACUUCUGUGCUGUGAGUGACACAGUGACUGAGACUGCAGGGGGAGCUGAACACAAACCUCAAGAGACACUGGAGUUUUCAGAGAUUUAA